GCUUGAACCGGCAGGGGGCAGCAGCUGCCUUGCCCCUCCAUGGUCUGAUUGAGACAGUCUCUGGGCCUAUGACAACUGGAUCCUGGAUUCUGUGACCAGAGAACCCGUUUCAGGCACCUUUCGGCUGCGUGUUCCUGGGGUGGAAGAGGGAAAGUGUUUUGAAAAUAUAGCCUAAAUGUCACACAUCACAAUAGAAAAGUGUGUUCCCAGCAAAAGACAGUUUCCUCCACAAACUUGGUAAGCUUCGUGGGUAAGUACACAUGUCCUACUCGGACUCCUGAAGCUGGCGGAGGGGUGAGGGAUGAAGUAAGGGAGGGUGGAGGGAUGCAGUCAAGGAAGAGCUAGCAAGCCAGAAAUGCUCUAGACCAGCAAAACACAAAGGCUAGACCAGAUGCCAAACAUGAAGUGAGAGAAUCUAUUUUCAGGCUUCUAGAGCCAGCAAAGACUUUAUUGAUUUAUUAUUAUUAUUAUUAUUAUUAUUAUUAUUAUUAUUCCAAAAAGGAUAUUGAUGUUCAAAGAAGUUAAAUUAUGUAAGUACCUCCCAGACUAAAUCUCCACCCCUAGUUGAUUAGUGAUGGCACACUCAAGAUUAAGUUCCAAUUAAGGGUUCUUUUUCUUUUUCUUUUCUUUUCUUUUUUUUCCUUCGGAGCUGGGGACCAAACCCAGGACCUUGCGCUUGCUAGGCAAGUGCUCUACCACUGAGCCAAAUCCCCAACCCUGGGUUCUUUUUCUUUAUGACCCCAAUAGGCAAUGGAGAAUCAGAUUAUACAGGCUUUGAAAUUAAAGGAUCAGAAAAAAAGUUUUAAAGUUUCUUGCAUGAGAAGAUUGGAGAAAGGUAUGGAUUGGGAGUGCAGCUGAGAGCAGUAGCAUGGAUCAGGCUGUAUCUGGUUGGUAUGGAGUAAGGCGGGUCAGUGGGCAGGUGAAUCUACACGAAGCCGGCAGUUUUUUGAGGUCAAGAGCUAUGGGCCAUUUGAGGGGAUGGCAUUCAGAUUCAGGCUGGAACCUUUCAGUGACGAUAGACUUUGACUGAGGAGCUUAACCUGAGCUUCUCAGUCUCAGUCCUGAUUGACACUGUGGGCGGGAUAAUAUCUUCUGGGGGAGGCUGUUCUGUGGGUUAUAGGAAGCUCUGUAGCCUCUCUGCCUUGACUGGGCAGCACCCCGUUAGCAUAACUUAAAAAAAAAGUCUCCAGAUGUGACUAAAUAUCCCCAGAGCUUGGAGAAGGUGUUAACAUUGUUCCUGUUUGAAAACAGCUGGUUUAAAUGAGUCUAAUAGGGCAGGGACAUAUUUGGGUAGAAUUUCCUAAUAACCAUGAAAUAGCUAUUUGAGUUCACCUUAAGGAGGUGCAACAGUGUACGGAACACACAGGCUUGUGUUCCUGGGAGACAGGACAGAAUACAGGUUGAGUAGUGUUUCUCCCACUAAGGAGAAAAAUACGUGGUUCAGAAGCGGGGAGAGUUCUUCACGAGAGUUCCCUGUCAAGAGCCUGGCUCCUCUACGUCACAGUCAUAGUACGCUUAACUUAGGCUUUACUUUUAGAUUUGUCUCAGCUUUCAUUCCCCACCUUGAUCUGAGCAAGGAGAGCCAGCAGGUUCUGGAAUUGAAAGAGAGUGAAAGGGGCAGGAUGGAGUGUUAUUGAAGACGUUAGGCAGAGUUGGGAACUGAAGAGAGUCACAAUUGGAAUGGACCCAUCGGUGGGCCAUUAAACCAGGAGCCAUGCCAUGUGGUAAUGAGUUUAAAAGGUUGGAGGUUAGGUAUCGAGGAGAAGGCUUUGGGUGUGGUGAUUCCAGACACACACACACACACACACACACACACACACACACACACACCCCGUCAACAGUCAGUCCUUAAGGUUCUGGCCCUUCAGUGUGUUCUGCACUCUAGAGUGAGCAUGCCACCAUUCAUCCCAAAGCUGGCCUCUAUGUGUGUUAGAAUCUAACGAGAGGGGGCUUGCUAUGGCCACUAGCUGAAAGGAGGCAGAGCCUCUGUAAUGGGGCAUGGAGGUGCCUGUGUUCAGAACACUUUUCUGGUUUCUAUGCUGUCCCAGAGGAAGGGGCUUCUGGAAACAGAAAGUGCUGGAAGCCCAUGUUCAGAGCCUACUGCUCAAUGACUCUAGGCUACAAAUUAACAUUCCCCCAACCCCCUCCCCCGCCAGGGCCACAAGUUUACUAGGGGCUUUGAGUAAAAAACACAGUGGGAAGCUGGUUGACUCUCCUGAAGUCCCAACCUUAGAGAGCUGCUGUGAAGACUGGAGGUGAAGGGCCCUUAGCACAGCGACUGGCUCACAAUAGGCUUUUAUUGUCAUUUGUGUCCCCUGGAGGAGGAACAGACUAGGGACCGCCAAGGAACCUGGGAAAGGCAUUAGUGCAUUUGGAGAGAAGGGUGGGCCAUUAAAGGUCCUACGGCAACCAUCAGAUUAUUAUAAAAGCAUGAUUUCACCUACACUGUGGGCAGGGCAGCUGGGCGGGUGAGGUAACCCUCUGGGUUAAUUUCAGAUUGUCUCAGCCCACGUCUCUUGGAGAAAGGACGCUGGUUCAUUACCAGUCAGAUCGUACCCCAAACGUCUGGAGGUGCCAACCCAGGGGCUGUGUGGUCAGGGAUUUGCCCACUUCUCAGGGAAACAGUCCUAGUCUCCACCCUCAGGGCCCUCACCAUCCGUUUGGGUCUGGCGAUCCAUUAGGGGGACCAUGUGCGCUGGGCUGGCAGCGCGCUGGACGUCCAAGACACCCUGGGGGCGACUGGGACAGAACACUGCUGUGUGCACCUCGACCUCUGGAUUGUCUGAAGAGAAGAUGCUGUACAGCAGGUCCUCCAGACGGCGGCGCGACUCGGCCUCCUCAUCCGGCCGUGGCUGCACCAGGAUCCCGACGAGCGCGGCUGGCGGGCGACGGUCCUGGACCCGUACCUGCUGCAGGAGCAGCUGAAGUCGUGGCAGCUGCGUGUAGAGCGCCGACGCGUGGCACAGCACCAGGAGCAGCUGCUUGCCGGGCUCGGUGCUUAGCUUGGUGAUCUCAGCCACCUCCGAGCCUAGGUUCCCUUGUGAAGCCCGAGGUGCCUCGCAAUCCAACAAGUCCUUUUUCUGGUGACCCGAGAGCUGCGACUUCUCCGCUCGCCGCUUGGCGGCCGGGGCUUCGGGGUUGUCCGCCAAGCUGUCGCCAGUGCGCUUAAGUCCUGGCCGGACACUGCCGCCACAACUUUGGCAGUCUGUUGUGUGGGUAUAGACGGGCUGGUUCGUGUAGCUUUCUUCGGGCUUGAAGAACUCUCUUACUAACAGCACCCGACCGCGGCCUGAGAUGGACUGACUCGGGGUCUCCGGCUGCUCCUCCAUCUUUUCCUCCUUCGGGGCCCUUGAGGGCUGCUCCCCAGGCCUCUGUUUCAUGUCGGUCCGGCUCCCUUGUCCCAAUGGCCUGGGACCUCCGUUAGCCAAAGAAAAGACUGUCUUUCCCGGAGCAUGUCACAAUACCCCUCGGCUUUACAGCCUCCUGCCUCAAGCAACCAAGGGGCCUCUACCCUACUAUUCCUCGGGAAUCUUCCAACAUGGAAAAUUGAUGUUGGAUGCUGGAAUAACAUAUUCAUCCUCCCCUCACCCCUAAAAGGCUCAUCUUUCCAGACCAUAAUGUUCCUCUUACUAAAGCCUCUUAGAAAAGAGAAGACAUUUUAAAGACAGUGGACCAGAUGUGGUCUGCACACGACACAACCAGAGACUGGGAUUCUGAUCGUUGGGUAAUUUGCUCCUUUUGCUAAUUUUCUUUUUAAAAUGAGUUUUGUAGUCUGGAUGAUGAUGGUGCACGCCUUUAAUCUCAACACUCAGAGAGAUCUGUCAGUUUGAGGACAGCCCGGUCCACAGAAUGAGUUCCAGGACAGCCAGGGCUACAAAGAGAACCCUGUCUCAAAAAAAAAAAAAAAAAAAAAAAAAAAAAAAAGAAACAAAACAAAACAAAACAAAAAGCAAAACAAACAGAAACAAACAAGAGUCUUGAAAUAUUCUGUUUUUUUUUUAAUAUAAAAAUAACAUGAAGGCAAGCUGUUAGCUAGAAAAUCUGGAGCUGAGACACCAUUAAAAAGUUCAAAUUCCUCAAAGCCAAGGGAAGUCCAGGCAAAGCCAGAAUGGCGCGUCUUGGCAGAACCGGUCUGGACUGUGAGGUCUAUCCCACCCUAGUUUUCAGGCUUUGUCCAGAGACUCAACUACUUCCACCGCGUCCUGAGGGAGAGGGAGGCAGAGGUGACCAUGGGCAGCAAUCAGGAAGCCUUGCCUAGGUCUUGACCUUUGCAUUCUAAUUCAGCUUAUAUGAAAAUGCCCUAAAUUUGGGGAGGAGAAAGGAGCAGAGGUCUCAGAUGUGCAUGGCUCUGUCCUCUCCACAGCUGUUGACCAGGUCAACUCCAGUUGGAGCGCUCAGAGGUUCUCUGUACAGGAACUGUACAAGGCUGGUCAUGGGCACUCUUCCCUUCACCAGCCCAUGGCACGCCGAAGCACAGUGUGACAGAGAGGUAGAGACGUGAUAGGUCUACCAGACCCUGUGAGACCUCUGUGAGGUGGACAGCGGCAUCAGAAGAGUCAACUGGUUCACAGGGUUCCCAGGCCCUACCUAUCCUUGAAGGGGAGACGGAGACUUUGGCAAGAAGUGACAUUAAAGACGUGUCAGGUGGUGCCAGUGCUGAGCAUUGGAUUUAAUGGUCGGAACCUUUAAACUCCUUGGUUGCGUUUCAGUUGAGGUGGAGAGAUCCAAAGAUGCACGAAGUGAUGGCCCUUUAUUUCCUCUGACAGAUUGUGCGCCUUUGCUGUGGACAGGGACUCUUUCCUGCCUUCAGGGCUGCUGGUCCAGGGCUCCCUAGCUCCUGGCUAGCAGGAAGAUAGAAGGAAGAGGAAGGCAGUCUUGCUUUUGUGGCUCAAAUCUUGGAAAGUGGAUGUAUCAUUUCCAUUCAUUUUCCCUGAGCAACCCAGACUGGAAAAUAGCCUCCUCCUGGUUGGUUAGACACUCUUCCACCCCUGGUGAUUUCCUCUCACCUCCUGAGAGGUGUGAGCAAAAAAAUCAAAGGACAUUUAACAGGCUCUUCUGUCUCUAAAAUGUGGGGUCUUCCUGUGCACUGGGCUGGGCGUUAUGAGGUUUCUCAUCUCUGCAGGGCAUGGCCACCAUUAUCAUCUUUUCAAGUCACAGCAGCAGAAACAGAAGGCCCAGGCAGGUUAAAUCGUGUCAAUUCACUCAGCAAGUGGUAGGUCUGGGAUUUGGAUGCAGGCAGGAUUAGCUAAAAAUGCCCUCUAAGCCACAAUACUGUGGCUCCUUCCACAGAAACGGGGCUGACCCUCAUGUCACAUAGUUUCUGGAGGUUAAUGUUGAUGAAGGUUGAGGGCGCUGGCAGGAGGAGGGGUCUUUGGUGGUAAAGCCUUUCGGGUUUCACAUUUUUUUGAGGACACAGUAAAGAGUCAUUUUAAGAGACACAUGAAAGAAUGGGAAAUAAAAGCUCUUUUACUACAUUAAGUUUUAUACAAAUUUAAUUUCUAGGUUUUAGAAAGUCAAUGAAGUCCUGCUAAGAUUAAAAAAGUUGAAUUAAGGGCUGGGGAUUUAGCUCAGUGGUAGAGUGCUUACCUAGGAAGCGCAAGGCCCUGGGUUCGGUCCCCAGCUCCGAAAAAAAGAACCAAAAAAAAAAAAAAAAGUUAAAUUAAGACAGUUCAUAAGUCGAGGAGUAAGAGGCCUUGAUUAUGUUUGAGACACCUUAUCUGACAUAUUGGCAUCCCAUAUGACAUUUAACUUAAGGUUUGUCUAUAACUAAAAGCAUUUAUAUUUAUGUGUAUGUAUGUAUGUAUGUAUGUAUGUAUGUAUGUAUGUAUGUAUGUAUGCAUGUGCACUGUGUAUGCAGUACCUAUGGUGUCCAGAAGAGGGCACUAGAUCUCCUAGAACUGGGGUUAUAGGUGGCUGUGAGCUACUGAGUGUAGUUGGGAAUUGAACCUGGGUCUUCUGCAAGAGCAGCUACCACUCUGAACUGCUGAUCCAUCUCUCUGGCCCUGAAAAAGUGUCUUAUUGAUAAUAGUCUGACACUUUUGAGUAACGUUAUAGUUCAUUUUUAUUAUUUCUGAAUUAUUUCAAAUAACAAAAAUAUACCUGGCUAUAUUAAAAUCAAGACAUUCUGGUUUGUUUUCUUUGCUUGGAUUAGUAAUCUCAGGGGGAUGCCACCUCUCAUAUUAUGAGGACACUCUUGCAGCCCCAUGGAGAGGAGAGAGGUGAAGCUUUUCCUACCAGCACCUAUUAAAAGCGCCAUCUUGAAAGUGUCCGGCCUUAGUCAAACUUAAAUGACUCAAUAUAUAUCUUGCUUGCAGCAUUGGGAAAGACAUCAACUAGAACCACUCACCUGAGCUGCACUGUACUUUUGAUUCCCACAUGCAGGCUGAGAUGGUAUUGGAUUAGCCCAUUAAGUUCUGAGGUAUCAUGGACAGAACAGGUCCAGAACUGGUACACAAAAGCCAUCACAUGGCCCGCUCAGGAAUCAUUCUGAAAGGAUCAUUUGCAUAAGACUAGCACAGGCUGGGCAAGCAAAACCAAUGCCUGAAGCUGUAAGUUCCACGAAAGGUGGGCCAUUUGGGUUCUGGGUUAAUGAGCAAAGUACUUUAGUGCAGGGGACGUGGGAACAACCAUCGAAGAGAGGACCAUUUGCAUAGAUGGAGUCCACCAGCAUUUCCCAGAAUGCUUUGUGUUUCUUCAGUGGUGAGAACUUGUGGCAGGGCUGGGUUUCUCAGUGUAGUUCCAGAAUGAGUGGUCCUUGCCCACAAGACGCCAUCACCAAGUCAGAAAGCCAGCGAGCUUAACCACUGCCUCCCAUGCCUGAUGGUUUGAUAACACAGUCUCAUGUCCAAAUUAUAAUUCUUGGGAAGGUGACCUUAUUUGGAAACAGGGUCUGUGCAAACAUCAAAAAAGCCUUGAGGGGAAAUGACUCAUAGGACUACCAUCUGGAUGAACCCCCCCCCCCCCAAUCCAAAGAGAUGCAUCCUUCUCAAAGAGGUUCAGAGGACAGAGACACAGAGGAAGACAGGUAGACAAAGACAGAGAUUAGAACAUUACAGGUACAAGCCAAGGUCACUAGAAGCCAUUGGCUGGAAGGGGCAAGACCAGGCUGUUCUCUAGAGCUACUGAGGGAAUGUGGCCCUGCUGACAAACUUCAUGUUGAGGUUCCUGUCUUCAAAGAUGAAAGUUUUUGUUUUAAGUUACCAAGUUUGUGGUCUUGUGUUGCAGGAGCCCCAAGUGAUGCGUAUACCACCUACCCACAUUGUCUGAUUCCUGCUCUAUCCUCCCCCCACUUUUAUUCCAUAUACGGCCUGUUUUGUCCCUCCUUUGGGGUAUCCACCUGAAAGGGAGACUCCAUCCACUGCUGCAUUUCCCACACAAUGCAUUUCUUGCAUCGAGGAUUUCUUAGUGUUGGGGUAACAUGAUUGGCAUUUGGAGGAAAGGUUCCAUUCCCCAGCAUGGUCACCCCUGGAAUUUCUGUUCCUUGAUCAGAUAUGAGCGAUAUGAACCACUUUGAACCUUUGCAGGGCUGAUCAGCAAAUCCCCAAAGAAUUGUGCUUGGGUCUAUGCAUGUGCACACAGGCCUGUGUGUUCCCAAGCUUCUUGUUCCUUUCCCCUCUGCACGCACCUUGCUUUUAGGAGAGAGUCUGCAGAGCCUUGCUUGUCACCAACAGCAUCAUGCCAGAAUUGCUCUUCAACAGAGAACUCAGAACUGAGAUUAAUCUGAGCAUAUCUUUUUUAGAAGAGUAGUCAUUUCUAUAAGAGGAACAAGGCAGGUUCCCUGGGGCUAGAGAUGGCGCAGUGGUUAAGAGCACUGGCUGUUCUUCUGGAGGUCCUGAGUUCAGUUUCCCAGCAUGCAACUGGCAGGUGUCUGACAUGAUUCUGUAGUCCCAUGAUUCUGUCGCCUUUUUCUUAGGUACAGACAUACUUGCAGGCAAAACGCCCAUAUACAUACAUAAAUUAAAAAAAAAAAAAGACGAGGUCCUGCAAUACGAAGCUUCCACGGCCACUGACUCAUAACCAGUUCACACACUUAUAGCAAAGAUGAGCCACUCCAGUAUGUAUUCAGUGACCUUCGAGAACACCCUUCUGCCCUGCUUCUGCUGUGUCUCUUCUAGAAUAUCCUAAAGAAAGCGAUCAUUAGCUGUCCAUUUUAUAAGCUGGGCGUCUGAGAUUAUUCCUCAAUACUUUCCUUAUCAUACCCCAAGUCUACCCUAUCUACACACGCACACACACACACACACGCAAGCGCGCACACACACACACACGCACACACCACAGAUGGAGAUUAUUUUCCUGUUUGUAUUUGUUCAGUUUUUCCUUGCUAUUACGAAAACACCUGAGGCUGUGUGCUUAU